rnacentral:rRNA from 1 species
UACGUAGGGGGCAAGCGUUGUCCGGAAUCAUUGGGCGUAAAGAGCGUGUAGGCGGCUCGGUAAGUCCGCUGUGAAAGUCCAGGGCUCAACCCUGGAAUGCCGGUGGAAACUGCCAAGCUGGAGUACGGUAGGGGCAGAGGGAAUUUCCGGUGGAGCGGUGAAAUGCGUAGAGAUCGGAAAGAACACCAACGGCGAAAGCACUCUGCUGGGCCGACACUGACACUGAGAGACGAAAGCUAGGGGAGCGAAUGGG